AUUGAACGCUGGCGGCAGGCCUAACACAUGCAAGUCGAACGAGUGGCGGACGGGUGAGUAUUGUCUGGGAAACUGCCUGAUGGAGGGGGAUAACUACUGGAAACGUUCGCUAAUACCGCAUACCAUCAGAUGUGCCCAGAGGGGAUUGGCUUGUUGGUGGGGUAACGGCUCACCAAGGCGACGAUCCCUAGCUGGUCUGAGAGGAUGACCGGCCACACUGGAACUGAGACACGGUCCAGACACCUAAGGGAGGACGCAGUGGGGAAUAGUGCACAAUGGGCGCAAGCCUGAGGCAGCCAUGCCGCGUGUAGGAAGAAGGCCUUCGGGUUGUAAAGUACUUUCAGCGGGGAGGCGUUACCCGCAGAAGAAGCACCGGCUAACUCCGUGCCAGCAGCCGCGGUAAUUC
rnacentral:rRNA from 1 species